ACGGCUCAGUAACACGUAGUCAACCUAACUGUGGACGUGGAUAACCUCGGGAAACUGAGAAUAAACCACGAUAGAUCAUAGUGCCUGGAAUGGCUUAUGGUCCAAACAGUUUACUGCCAUGGGAUGGGACUGCGGCCUAUCAGCUUGUUGGUGAGGUAAUGGCCCACCAAGGCGAUUACAGGUACGGGCUCUGAGAGGAGUAGCCCGGAGAUGGGUACUGAGACACGGACCCAGGCCCUAUGGGGCGCAGCAGGCGAGAAACCUUAGCAAUGUGCGAAAGCACGACUGGGUCAGUCCGAGUGAUUCCUGAUAAAGGAGUCUUUUGCCUGUCCUAAAAGCACAGGUGAAUAAGGGGUGGGCAAGUCUGGUGUCAGCCGCCGCGGUAAUACCAGCACCUCGAGUGGUCAGGACGUUUAUUGGGCCUAAAGCAUCCGUAGCCGGCUCUGCAAGUCUUCGGUUAAAUCCACCUGCUCAACAGAUGGGCCGCUGGAGAUACUACAGAGCUAGGGAGUGGGAGAGGCAGACGGUAUUCAGUGGGUAGGGGUAAAAUCCUCUGAUCCAUUGAGGACCACCAGUGGCGAAGGCGGUCUGCCAGAACACGUUCGACGGUGAGGGAUGAAAGCUGGGGGAGCAAACCGGAUUAGAUACCCGGGUAGUCCCAGCUGUAAACGAUGCAAACUCGGUGAUGCAUUGGCUUAUGGCCAAUGCAGUGCCGCAGGGAAGCCGUUAAGUUUGCCGCCUGGGAAGUACGGACCCAAGUCUGAAACUUAAGGAAUUGGCGGGGGAGCAC
rnacentral:rRNA from 1 species